ACUCUUCUAGUAUAUCCAUUACAAUCGGACUUCCAAUCCUUAGAAUCUGGUUUAACCCCAGAGAAGAGUA
rnacentral:tRNA from 1 species